rnacentral:lncRNA from 10 species
CUAGAACACGAAAUCACCCACUAAGAGUAAAGGAGAACAUUGCAACUUUAAGGAUGAAGUGUCCAUUAUCAGAAGUCUGGAUCCCAUCACCGCCAUCCACUCUGAAAAAUAAGGCUGGCCUUCACAGACCAUGACACCUUCUUUCAUAUGGGCCUCUACACAGAAUGCUUCUCUGGCUUGCAAUGACCACCCGCUCUACUUCAUCAGCUCCAGCCCCCAACAAUGAGGGAUGAGGCAGGACCUCCUGAUGAGUGCUGAGCUGGUAAUGCUAGGGGAGCGCUCCAGCAUCCUGCUAUCCAAAUUAAGCCUGAAGC